GUUUUAUUCAUUAACCAGCAAGAGAAACAAAUAUACAGAAGAACAUUCCCUAUCACAGUGACAGUCUUUAGGCAUGUAGGUUCAAGACUGACAGAAAACGCAGACAUAUGCCCACUGAUGGAUAAUCCAGGUUGCCUGUGGAUGAAGUGCAAUGCUCUGCCAUGUCCUUCAGCAUGAGGAAUGGAAAAAAGUCUCAAUUUCUGCAGAGUAUACAUUGGACAGGGAAGUGCAUGUGGCCUUGCAAACUGAAGAAUUCAGCUGCUGAAAUCUGUUCCAAGAAGUAGAGACUGCAUUUGGAGGGUGUGGCUUGCGGGUUUCACUUACUGUUGAAAUAGAGGAUGACUUCCAAAAAACUGACAGGAGCACAGAGCCUGUGUCAUCUCCAUUCCCAGUGAUUUCUCUUUGAUUGAUGUGCCAUUAAUGCUUUAAUUGGCAACAGGAUGUGAACUUGAAAUCAUCUAAAAGACAAACCUCUGGGUGUGUCAGUGAUGGUACUUGAAGAUCGGUUUAACUGAAGGGCGAACACCCCUACUAAAUGUGUAAAUCAGUAUUCCAUCUGCUGGAGUCCAAGAAUGAAUUAAAAAAUGAAAAGGGACAAGUGACCCAAGAACUGCUAACAUUCGCUCUGUUGCUUCCUGAUGAUGGAGGCAACAUGAACAGCAGCCUCCUUUAAUACUCCGUUGUUCUCACUGCCACUCCUUCCCUGUCAUGAUAGGCUGAGCCCUCUACCGGCUAGCUGGAAAUAAAGCCAUCUUUAAGUUGUUUCCCCUCUCUUGUAUUUCCACAGUACUGAGAAGAAAAUAGCCAAUGCAAGACUUCUAAUGUAGACUGAACUUUUAGAGAGAAGGCAACAAUGUC
rnacentral:lncRNA from 1 species